GACGAACGCUGGCGGCGUGCUUAACACAUGCAAGUCGAACGGAAAGGCCCUUCUUUUGUGGUGUUCUCGAGUCGCGAGCGUGUGUAUCACACGUGAGUCACCUGCCCUUGACUUUGGUAUAACUUCAGGAAACUGAGUCUAAUCCCGGAUAGGAGCUCCUUCUGCAUGGUGGGGUUUGGAAAUUUUGGGGGGUUGGGUAUGGACUCGCGUCUUCUCCGCUUGUUGGUGGGGGUGUGGUUUACCAAGGCUUUGACGGGUAGCCGGCCUGAGAGGGUGACCGGCCAAAUGGGGACGGAGAAACGGCCAAGACUCCUACGGGAGGAAGAAGUGGGGAAUAUUGAAAAAUGGGCGGAAGCCUGAGGAAGAAAGGCGGCGUGGGGGAUGACGGCCUUCGGGUGGUAAACGGUUUUGGCCUGUGAGGAAGCGUGAGUGACGGUAAUGGGUAAAGAAGCACCGGCUAACUACGUG
rnacentral:rRNA from 1 species